rnacentral:rRNA from 1 species
AUGGCUGACAAGGGCGACGGUCCGGCCAUCCGGAUUGACCUCGGCACCACCUACUCCCGCGUCGGCGUGUGGCAGCACGGCCAAAUUGAGAUCAUUGCAAACGACCAGGGCAACCGCACCACGCCGUCCUACGUCGCCUUCACCGACUACGAGAUACUCAGCGGCGAUGCCGCCAAGAACCAGGUCGCCAUGAACCCUGUCAACACAGUUUUUGAUGCUUAGCGUCUUAUUGGCAGGAGAUUCAGUGAUGGUUCAGUCCUGAUGGACAUGACGUUGUGGCCCUUCAAGGUCAUUGAUGGACCUGGUGAUAAGCCUAAGAUAGCUGUUCAGUACAUGAGCGAGGAGAAGGAGUUUUCUGCUGAAGAUAUCUCCUCCAUUGUCCUCAUCAAGAUGCGUGACAUUGCGGAAGCCUUCCUUGGCAGGACAAUCAGGAAUGCUGUUGUCAGUGUCCCUGCCUACUUCAACGACUCUCAGAGACAGGCCACCAAGGAAGCUGGAGGUUUGGCUGGUCUGAAUGUUAUGCGCAUCAUCAACGAGCCAACUGCUGCUGCUAUUGCAUAUGGUCUUGACAAGAAGGUCAUCAGCGUUGGUGAGAAGAAUGUUCUCAUCUUUGACCUUGGAGGUGGCACCUUUGAUGUCUCCCUUAUCACCCUUGAGGACCUCAUCUUUAAGGUCAAGUCCACUGCUGGUGAUACUCACCUUGGUGGCGAGGACUUCGACAACAGGAUGGUUGAUCACUUUGUUGAAGAAUUCAAGAGGAAGAACAAGAAGGAUAUAAGUGGUAACCCCAGGGCUCUCCGUAGGCUAAGGACAGCUUGUGAGCGGGCAAAGAGGACCCUCUCCUCAACUGCACAGACCACCGUUGAGAUUGAUUCAUUGUGUGAGGGCAUUAACUUCUACACCACCAUCACCCGUGCCAGGUUUGAGGAGUUGAACAUUGACCUCUUCAGGAAGUGCUUGGUACUUGUGGAGAAGUGUCUGAGGGAUGCUAAGGUGGACAAGAGCACUGUACAUGAUGUUGUCCUUGUUGGUGGCUCGACAAGGAUCCCAAAGGUUCAACAGUUGCUUCAGGAUUUCUUCAAUGGCAAGGAGCUGUGCAAGAACAUCAACCCUGAUGAAGCUGUUGCCUAUGGUGCAACUGUCCAGGCUGCCAUCUUGAGUGGCGAGGGCAAUGAGAAGGUCCAGGACCUCUUGCUACUGGAUGUCGCACCUUUUUCUCUCGGUAUGCAGACUGACGAAGGUGUCAUGACAGUGUUAAUUCCGAGAAACGCUACCAUCCCGGCAAAGAAGGAGCAGGUCUUUUUCACCAACAAAGGCCAGACCAAUGACAUCAUCAAGGUGUAUGAGGGUGAGGGCACCAGGGCCGACAACCUGUUGGUAAAGUGUGAGUUCUCUGGCAUCCCUCCUGCUCCCAAGGGUGAGUACAAGAUCACAGCCUGCUUUGACAUUGAUGCCAAUGGCAUCCUGAUUCUCAAUGUCUCAUUUGAGGAAACGACCACUGGGGAGAAGAGUCAGUUCACAAUGAAUAAGACUACACUUGAGCUCUUGAUUUUCAACUUGCGCAACACCAUCAAGGACGACAAGUUUGCCUCCAAGCUGUCUGCGGAUGAGAAGAAGGUGGCCGAGGACGCCAUCGACCAGGCCGUCCAUUGGCUGGACAACAACAAGCAAGCUACGGAUGAUGAGUACAGGAAGAAGAAGGAUGAGCUGGAAAUUGUGAGCUGCCCCAUCAUCAUUAAGUGUAUGUUCGAUUGA